AUCGAACGCUGGCGGCAGGCCUAACACAUGCAAGUCGAGCGGAGCGGCGGAAGGGUGAGUAAUGCCUAGGAAGCGGCCUGGUAGUGGGGGAUAACGUCCGGAAACGGGCGCUAAUACCGCAUACUAUCAGAUGAGCUUAGGUGGUAUUAGCUAGUGGGUGGGGUAAAGGCUUACCAAGGCGCCGCCCCGUGACUGAACUGAGAGGAUGAUCAGUCACACUGGAACUGAGACACGGUCCAGAGUCCUACGGGAGGCAGCAGUGGGGAAUCUUGGACAAUGGGUGAAAGCCUGAUCCAGCCAUGACGCGUGUGUGAAGAAGGUCUUCGGAUUGUAAAGCACUUUAGGUUGGGAGGCGGUACCAACAGAGUAAGCACCGGCUAACUUCGUGCCAGCAGCCGCGGUAAUAC
rnacentral:rRNA from 1 species